AAUGUAACAAAACUAAAGUGCAGAAUUAGAAACAGAUAGGCAAUUUCUAAACUUUAGGGUUACCAUGCCCAACAUCUGUGUUUGCUUGUUGUAAACGUAGCAAGAAAACAUGUUUAGUUGUGGCUAACCACAAACUUCCUUACCACAUAAUUUUGUUUUAUUUCUUGGGUUAAUAGGUUAUAUUUUUCCAGAUUUAAUUAGCCUAAUAAUGUCUGUUUUGCUAUUUAACUAUUUUUUUUUGUUAAAGAAAGUAAUACUGUAAAGAACCAGUUAGCUUUUUUUUUUAAGAUUUAUUUGUUUGUUUGUUUGUUUAUUAUAUGUGAGUACACGGUACCUGUCUUCAGACACUCCAGAAGAGGGCGUCAGAUCUCAUUACAGAUGGUUGUGAGCCACCAUGUGGUUGCUGGGAUUUGAAUUCAGAGACUUCAGAAGAGCAGUUGGUGUUCUUAACCACUGAGCCAUCUCUCCAGCCCCUGCUUUUUAAUUUAUUUUUUUUUUUCAUAUUUAAGGACCAACAGCUAAAACCUAUAGAUAAUGCCUAGCUUCUUUAUCCAAGCCAGUGAGUGAUUUGCUGAUUAGCUAGUUGUCUGUACUCUGUGCCAGAGCAGUCACAGUAAGCAGAACUUACAGUAAGAUAACAAGAUAGCAUUCUCUAGCUUACCUAAAUUUUAAUGUUGGCCUAUUACACAUUGUAUCUGGAAAUGAAUUUUAGUUAAGUGAGAAAUACCUGUUGUUUGCUUUCUGACCUUGUUUAUUAACAGAGAAAUAUUAAAGUUACUCUUUGAGUAUUAAAACUUUUGUACUCUGAGUAAUUUAAAAUAUUUUUUAUAUGUGGUGAUCUUAAAGUGAGGGAUUUUGUGACUUGGAAAGCGAUCAAGGGCAUAAACUUGAACUAAAUGUGGUAAUCUUUUCAAAAAAGUAAGCUGAAUGAAAGUUUUUAAUUGGAUAGCUUUAUUUUUAGCUAAAGAGAAUAAAUUCUAUGCCUUUUAAGUUAAGUUUUAUAAGAAGACAGGUUAGUUUUCCUAGGAAUAAUUAAAAUCAUUAUGGAUAAUGAAUAGUGUUGUAGAUUUAUGCUGCUCCUUUUUAAUUAGAAACUCUUACUCUUACUGUAUAGACACCUAGCUGAUGUACAUAUUUUACCCUUACUGUAUAGACACCUAGCUGAUGUACAUAUUUUACUCUUACUGUAUAGGCACCUAUCUAAUGUACAUAUUUUACUCUUACUGCAUAGACACCUAGCUAACAUACAUAUUUUACUCUUACUGCAUAGACACCUAGCUAAUGUACAUAUUUUACUCUUACUGUAUAGACACCUAGCUAACAUACAUAUUUUACUCUUACUGCAUAGACACCUAGCUAAUGUACAUAUCUUACUCUUACUGCAUAGGCACCUAGCUGAUGUACAUAUCUUACUCUUACUGUAUAGACACCUAGCUAAUGUACAUAUCUUACUCUUACUGUAUAGACACCUAGCUGAUGUACAUAUUUUACUCUUACUGUAUAGAUACCUAGCUGAUGUACAUAUUUUACUCUUACUGUAUAGACACCUAGCUGAUGUACAUAUUUUUACUCUUACUGUAUAGACACCUAGCUGACAUACAUAUUUUACUCUUACUGUAUAGACACCUAGCUGACAUACAUAUUUUACUCUUACUGUAUAGACACCUAGCUAACAUACAUAUUUUGGUGAUACGAUUCUUUAGUAAAUAAGAACUGGGAUUAGGGUGUGACUUUGUAGUUAGACCAUGUGUGUAGCAGUUGUGAAGCCCUGGUUUCAGUCCCCAACAAGGAGUCAUUUAGUUGGGGUGUUUUGACCUGUAUUGAUGUCUGAAAGUGUGUAAUUUGUUAAGUUUAACUUUCUUAUUUAGAAAAAUAAGAUUCAAAGGAAGAAAAUAACAGUGUGCAUUCAUUCUCAGACUAAGCGUAUAAGAAAAAUAUUUAAACUAGUCUGAUAGUCAACUUUUUUUUUCCACCAAGAGUAAACUCAUGAGAACCUCUUAUUAAAAAGGAUAUUCUUUGACAGUCUGUUCCAUAUUUCAAAUUGAUUAUGUUAUUACCUGCUAAUGCCAAAGUUAUUGGUCUCAUUUCUCUCUAUGUAGUAUUAAAAGCACUUAAGGAAAGUAGAAACUAUAUUAUAUACUAGUCAAAAUAGUAUUUAAAAGUUAAUAAGCCAAACUUUAUCUUGCUAAAUAGGCUUAAUUGGGACACUUCUUUGUGUGAGAUGUGGCUACUUUUACAGUGUUAAAGCAGGGCUUAAAAGAAGUAAAGUUUGAGUAAGUUAAUUAUCUGAUACUGCAGAAAGGGAAAGAACAGUUGAGUUAGAUCAUUCCACUUAAUGUAGCAGCUUUAAAAGCCAAAGAAAGUUUAUGACUGGCUCUAAUAACUUUUAUAGUAGGAUUAAAUACAUCACAGCAUUUUUCUCAUAUUAAAUGUGUUGGGUAUAGUAUGUCUUUCUAAAAGCAACCCGCUUGACAUGAUAGUAUUUGAUAGAAGGUAUUAAAAUAACUAGGUUCCUUAUUUCUCUAUCUGAGUUUAUGUAAUGGAUGUAAAGGCCAGUUGAAUAAAUGUAGUUCUGUGAAGUUUAUGUUACUGAUCUUAUUUGGGAAAGCAAACUAAAUACUCUUCUAUAGAUGAAACAUCUUUAUAAAUUCUUGUUCAUAAGAUAGCAUUUUCUAUGCUGUUUUGCUAAAAAUUAAAGAUAAUACUUGGUCCCAGAAGCACACUGCUCCAGCGAUCCUAAUUUGCUCUAAAGCUGAGCCACCCCGCCAUGGCCACUGCUGCUCUGCAGUGGUGUCACUAGGUGACUGUAGUGACAGAGGGCUGCCUUCUACCCUACUCACUUUCUUCAUUGUCUGUAGAAGGGAGGAGAGAAUUCCGGUCUGUAACUUUUUGGACAAACUUUUUAAGAGUUUAUACUUGUUUAAUUGGGUAAUAAGUGACCCCUCCUGUUAAUCCUAGCAGAAAUCUUACCUCUGUGUUAAUAUUAUUUAAAAAAAAAAUGAUGGGCCAAACUUCUGGUCCACAGACCAAAAUAUUAGUAUAUAAUGCCAUUUAUGUUGGAUUCUCUUUGAAUGUAGUGUGGCAGGUAAUAGAUUCACCCCCAGGCAACUGUUUUAGAAUGCAUGUUUGUGAACUUGGAUUAUAGGGGAGAACACCAUGUUUUCAUGUAGAUUAGGAGAACAC
rnacentral:lncRNA from 1 species